rnacentral:pre_miRNA from 1 species
AUUUCAAAUUUGUACCUUGUUAAGUAGUGGUGCCGUUCUUAUUAAAUCUCAAAAAGUAAUAAGAGCUGUUCAUUACUUAUCAAGGUAAAGUUUGACCUUU